AGCGAACCUUCUUACUCCUGUUUAUGGUUUUGUUUUUACUUGAAAGACAACGUCAUUUGAGACUUGCGUAUUUUAUUUCAAUUCUAGUAUUUACAUUAGAGGCUUGUGCACGUGACAACCAGGUUUUGGGGGUUGAAUUAAGUUGACUUGUUUUCGUAAUAGUAAUUAUUAUUGAACUUUGCUUUAUUUCCGCACUUUAUCGAAAUGAUUGGAUUUAGGCUGACUUGUCUUGGUGGGAUACGACGAGUGCCAUCACAUCCAUUUUUGGGUCGUGACA
rnacentral:lncRNA from 1 species